CAAAUUCUGGUGAUCAAAAGCAAAAGCUUCAGAACACCUCAUUCUUGUAUCUCUUUCCCCCCAAAUUUUGUUACAAAUGACUUCCCUUCUGCAAAAGCUCGUUAGAAAGAAAUCAUCAACCCUAAUUGUGGCCUCUUCGAAGUCAAUCUGAGUCUCCGAUACAAAACCAGAAUCAUCCGCCAUUGGCGUACCCAAAACAAUCGACCAAUCCAACCCUUCUAAUUCCUUGAAGUUUUACCCAAGUGGGGGAUUUCUUAAAUCUGGGUUCGUUCAAUCUGUUGAUCCAGAAGGAGAAAUUGAUUUGGGUAACAAUGAAAUGAUGAUUUGGGUAACAAUGAAAUGAUGAUUUGGGUUGAUAGUGUGAACAAAAAGAGAAAGAAGAAGAUGAAGAAGCACAAGUUGAAGAAGCUGAGGAAGCGUCUACGAAGGAAAACUUAGUUUUGAAAUCUUCAUCUUGUCGGGCCACCCACAAGGGGAAAUUUUGGGGCGUGUUCACUAUACUCGACGAUGGCAGAUGGUGGAAGACGGCCAGUACAGAUCUCGUGCACCGUUGUGAACAGCGGGAACAUCUCUAACCAUCCCUUGUGUUUCAAAACCUCAUAUACCUCUUUUGCGGUUGAAACUCCCUUCAAAAUCAAAAUAGAAGUGUGUUCAGUGAUUUAGCAUCUCAGCUUCAAGCUCAUCGAAAGACCUGCAGAUCAUGAUGAAGAACUAAAGAUGAUCAAAAUCGUUCAUUGGUAAAAUCUAUGGCGUAGAGACGAACCUUUUGCCACCAUUCUUAGCAAAAGCCUCCGCACACUUCCUAUUUCUUCCUCCCACUGCAAUUAGCAUAUUCAAACAGUUCCGAUGAAUCCAUGAGAACAAGAAACAGGAAGAAAAAAAAAAAGACGAUAUUGCUCUUCUUACAGCAAGUCGUUAUGAGAUCUGCAACACCGCAGCUCUCGAAGAAGGUGAGACCAUGAAGUAAGGAGUGCUGAAUAGUUGCACCCAUUUGUCUGCAAUCUCCCUGUUUUCUCUAUACCCUACUGUUGCCUCGCUAAAUUUCUCCACUGCAAUCUGCUUAUUCAUUGUUAGCGAUUUGAUAGAUGAUGAUGAUACCUGCAUUUUCGAGAUCAGGGUCAGCAACAACGUUAGACCCAAGCUUAAUCCCCGGAGCCAUGAAUGAAUGUAGAGAGAGAAAGACGAAGAAGAUGAAAGAGGAAGAAAGGAGAAUUGAAGAUAUACAAUGAAGGAAGGAGGUGGGGUUUGGGCGGAGAAGAGAAAGAGAAGAGAAAGACAAGGCACGUACUCGUCGGCAGUUUCGAUGCUUACUAAAUUCGACUUGUAUGCAACGUUAAAAGAAGGGGCGAUGUCUUCUAUACCAAACAUUAU